rnacentral:rRNA from 1 species
UACGUAGGUGGCAAGCGUUGUCCGGAUUUAUUGGGCGUAAAGAGCUCGUAGGCGGCUUGUCGCGUCGACUGUGAAAACCCGCGGCUCAACCGCGGGCCUGCAGCCGAUACGGGCAGGCUAGAGUUCGGUAGGGGAGACUGGAAUUCCUGGUGUAGCGGUGAAAUGCGCAGAUAUCAGGAGGAACACCAGUGGCGAAGGCGGUGCUCUGGGCCGGAACUGACGCUGAUGCGCGAAAGCGUGGGUAGCAAACAGG